CCUUUACAGACAAGAUCACCUUUUCCUUCUACCUUUCUGCUGCAGAGUUUCUUUUUAUACAAAAAGAGUUCUCUUCAGAUGCUGGACCAUUUGGCAGAUAUUGCUUUAUUGAGCAUAGGCAAGUCUUUCACAAAAUGGUUUUGCUUGGUGCAAAGUCAGACUUGAUCUUGAUGGUCAAUAGACCAGUGUUUCUGUGGAAAAGCCCUAUCACAUGCUGGGAACCAAGGCACCAUACAGAUUUGUUUCUAUAGCCUCAGGAAACACACUGGGGUCCAGUGUGAAAUGACUGUCAUAGACUAAACAACUUGUACAUCACCAGCUAUUCCAAGGAUUGUUAAUAGGGUUAAUGGUAAGAAAACUGAAACAGGCUUCAUGAAUCAAGAAAGCUUUGAAAAAUGUCACUUCACAAGACUAGAACACAUAAAAA